GUGAAUCAUCGAAUUUUUGAACGCAAAUUGCACUCUCUUCUGAGAGUAUGCCUGUUUGAGUUUCAGCCUAAAAAAAAAUCUAAAUAUUCGCUGUUUCGCGGUGGCAGUCGUCGGUAAUUGGGGCAUCUUAGACCUUUGGGAGUUAAGAGGCUUAUAAUUUUCUUUACAAUUCCACGAACAAUUC
rnacentral:misc_RNA from 1 species